rnacentral:sRNA from 1 species
UUUUGCGCUCUAGUUCCUAAGUUCGCGCUUUGUUGAUGUCAUUACCUCAUUGCCUCUGUGUUGUUGUGCUGAUGGCGAAUCUUUUGUUGGAGUUUUCUUUGGUGUUUUCUUCCCCAGUGUUGGUCCAGGUAGAGCAUUGCAACUUGAGCUACAAGAGGUUCUCAUAAUAUAUCACAGCAGUGAACUUGGUGCAUGAAAUAUGAGGUCAAUAUGAUUGUACUAUUGGAAACAGUUUAACAAGUCCACAGAAAACCCUCAGGUUCAAGUGAUGGAAAAUCUUUUUUGUCUAAGCCCAUCCCUUCAAGCCAGCGAGAAGCUCCUUCAUCAUCAUUGAUGUCAUCGUCAC